rnacentral:rRNA from 1 species
CCUACGGGAGGCAGCAGUGAGGAAUAUUGGUCAAUGGGCGCGAGCCUGAACCAGCCAAGUAGCGUGAAGGAUGACUGCCCUCCGGGUUGUAAACUUCUUUUAUAAAGGAAUAAAGUGAGGCACGUGUGCCUUUUUGUAUGUACUUUAUGAAUAAGGAUCGGACAACUCCGUGCCAGCAGCCGCGGUAAUACGGAGGAUCCGAGCGUUAUCCGGAUUUAUUGGGUUUAAAGGGAGCGUAGAUGGUUUGUUAAGUCAGUUGUGAAAGUUUGCGGCUCAACCGUAAAAUUGCAAUUGAGACUGGCAGCCUUGAGUACAGUAGAGGUAGGCGGAAUUCGUGGUGUAGCGGUGAAAUGCGUAGAGAUCACGAAGAACUCCGAUUGCGAAGGCAGCUUACUAAACUGCCACUCACAUUGAUGCUCGAAAGUGUGGGUAUCAAACAGGAUUAGAUACCCUUGUAGUC